UCCAGCAGGAAGAGGGUCACAAGGAAGGGAAGAGCUUGUAUGGAGUUGCCAGAGGGAUACUUAUUACCUUUGGGAUUAUAAACUUCUAUUUUUUCCCCUCUGGAUUUCUGCCUUUUCCCCUGUGAUUUUUCACAUAAACUCUGAUUCUUUGGAUGGAGUCUCACCAGACCCAUUUAGAAUGGGCCUUUGAAGGAUGUUCCAAGUGAUGCAGUGAGACAACAAGCACAACAAGCUUUAAGGAGUACAAGCUCAGGACAGAGAAAAGGUUUCUUCGUGGCACUGUCAUUUCUGCCGUCCUCAUACCAAGGAGUUGACUGCACUACUUUAUGGCUUCCCUACCCUUCCAUCAACCUUGGGAUGUUUAUUUUUCUUCAAACAUAGCUGUUUGCAGCAUGCUAACAAGAACUGAAGAUCUUUUAACACUGCUAUUUGUUUACUGAAGACAUCAAAGCCUUUUUUUCCACGAGCCCCCUUUGAGCCGGUACAAUCUGCAAGCAGCCGUGCAACACCGAGCUCCCCAAACCAUCU